UACGUAGGGUCCGAGCGUUGUCCGGAAUUAUUGGGCGUAAAGAGCUCGUAGGCGGUUUGUCGCGUCUGCUGUGAAAUCCCGAGGCUCAACCUCGGGCCUGCAGUGGGUACGGGCAGACUUGAGUGCGGUAGGGGAGAAUGGAAUUCCUGGUGUAGCGGUGAAAUGCGUAGAUAUCGGAAGGAACACCUGUGGCGAAAGCGGCUCACUGGACCAUAACUGACGCUGAGGCGCGAAAGCGUGGGGAGCGAACAGG
rnacentral:rRNA from 1 species